AGCAGCCGCGGUAAUUCCAGCUCCAAUAGCGUAUAUUAAAGUUGUUGCAGUUAAAAAGCUCGUAGUUGAAUUUCGGGAUCAAUCUGCCGGUCGUGCCUCCGGUAUGCACUGGUUUUAUUGGUUUCUCCCUUCUGACGAAUCAUGAUGUCAUUAAUUUGGUGUCAUGGGGAAUCAGGACUGUUACUUCGAAAAAAUUUAGAGUGUUUAAAGCAGGCUCACGCUUGAAUACAUUAGCAUGGAAUAAUGAAAUAGGACGUUUGACCCUAUUUUGUUGGUUUCUAGGAUCGACGUAAUGAUUAAUAGGGAUAGUUGGGGGCAUUAGUAUUCAAUUGUCAGAGGUGAAAUUCUUGGAUUUAUUGAAGACUAACUACUGCGAAAGCAUUUGCCAAGGAUGUUUUCAUUAAUCAAGAACGAAAGUUAGGGGAUCGAAGACGAUCAGAUACCGUCGUAGUCUUAACCAUAAACUAUGCCGACUAGGGAUCGGAUGAUGUUAAUUUUUUAAUGACUCAUUCGGCGCCUU
rnacentral:rRNA from 1 species